rnacentral:tRNA from 1 species
GCCUGGGUCGCUCAGUCGGUUAAGUGUCUGACUUCAGUUCAGGUCAUGAUCUCGUGGUUCGUGGGUUCAAGCCCCACGUUGGGCU